ncrna:unclassified sequences AdoCbl variant RNA
GGCCUAAAAGCGUAGUGGGAAAGUGACGUGAAAUUCGUCCAGAUUACUUGAUACGGUUAUACUCCGAAUGCCACCUAGGCC